ensembl:lncRNA
ACAAGAAUAUAUGUUAACUAUGACAUAUUUUUAUUUCUCACACAAUCACGAGACACCAUUGUCAUAUUUUCCUCCAAAAAGGCAUAGCAGGUAAUAUAGUAGUAAAAGUUACAAAGCCUUGUUGAUAAAAUUUAAAUUGGAACUGACCAUCACAUCCCAAAAUGCAGGGGCAAGUAAAAUAUUUUCCCACUCGCACAUCUGAAAAUAAACAACGUAAAUAUCCAGAACAACACGUAACAGUUCAUACAGAGGGUCCUAAAAUUUCCACACAGGAAAACACAUUUUCGUGUUGGUUUUAACUUUAUGAAAUGUCCGUGUUGUCUCUCUGUAAAAAAAAAAAUGCAUCGGAUCGACGUGUGCAAAAAUUUCAUGAGUUACACUAGAGGAGUUUGAAGCCAAGAGGUUGUCAGGACAGGUCCCAGCAGUGGCAUUGCUCUUGUAACCUUGUGUAAAGGGUCUUAUCCUACAUCCCUUCAACGAAGAGCAGAAACGAUUGAGUGAAAAGCACUGUAUAGGCUGUUCCAUUCACGUUAGACAAAUAAUAACGCGUGUAAGGUACAACAAUAACAACAAACACAUCGAAAGACUCAACACUGCCUUCACCCACUAAACGCCCCGCCGUUGUUUGUAGGCUUCGUCAAGCUUCUUCCGCAAAGCGCCCCUACGGGAAGCGACCUGGCAGCUCGGAAUUGAAACGAAAUGCUAAGAUUUGUCAGGUUUGUCCUCCCUUCGUCGUAUUACUGAUCGGGUGCUUUUUUGGCGCUCCCAUCACGGCCUCCGUGGCACCACUUCUGAAACAUCUGCGGCGUCUCUGAGGAGCCGCUACGUGUUUUGGAAAGACUCGGCAGCGGUGAGCCGUGGGCCACGGGUUUCCCCUCGGGUGGGCUGGGGGCAGCCCUUCCCACUCGUACCCGGGGCCCACGCCGGCUCUUCCACGGCCCGUGACUCAGGCCUUCCGAAGAGGGGACUCCCUCUGAGCCGCGAAGCGGGAGGUUCCCUGUCCGCUGCGGGAUCAUUUCACCUCCAGCUCUCGCAGUUACACGGAAGCGGCUCCACGCGGCCUUCUUGCGGCACAGAUUUCUCUCUUUUCUUAUUUUUGUUUCCAGGGCGCGUGGGCACAGGUGCGAGCCCUGCACAAGGCCUCUGUCGCGCAGGCAUCUGUCUUGCGUGAAGAACCAGAUAUCUGAGGGGAAAAUACCUUUCUGGAGGUUACUUUCAUAUUUAUACUGUAGGUUGAGUGCCAGCAAGAUAAAAGUUUUUGAAAAAAAAAAACAUAUUUGUACGCUCAUCGCCGUUGCCAUCAGUUCCAGGAGAACUUUGGUUUUAAAAUGUACCCACGCGAAACACCGCGCGGAACUGAACGUGAUAGGAACGGAGCAAAACAGCGCGCAGCGGACACGCUCGGAGCUGUACUUCAGCUACGUCGGCUGUAGAGAACCCCCUUCGCGGGGCCCCCGCCCCCGCGCCGUCGUUGGCGGGAGCCCCGGAGCCGGAGCGCUGCCGCCGGGGAGGAGAGGGCACUACACUCACCAGUCCACCCCCCACCCACCCCGACAGAUCGAUAGCACACUUUGCCUUUCAUCUGACCGAUGCUGGGGGGUUCGGCCCUUUGCUGGAGAGAACCCAAUGCAGUGUGGAGCAGGAGGCACCAGCCCACAGGCUCACUCCCCCCUCCACCCUCUGCAACACAGCAGGUUAUUGCGGGCUGCUGAGGCUCUUCCUGGUGCUUGUCCUGCUGUUAGUGCCGCUGAAAAGUGUCCAUCACAACCAGCCGGAGUGUGUUUGCGUGUCUGUGUGCCUCACAGUGGCUUUUGAACACUGAGAUGAUGGUAUAUGCUUUAAGUUCUUGUAUAAAGUUGAAGACAUUUUUGGUAAAAAUAAAUUCACAGCUCAAGCAAGGGUCCA